GUCUUAUUAUAUAUAUAUUAUAUUUUAGAUUAUUUUAGAUUCAUAAUAAUAUAUAUUCAUACAUAUUUAACUAAGAAUUUUCCAAAUGAGAUGGAGAGUGCUAAUGAGAGAUAGAUGUAGCAAUCGUAAUAAGAGGAUUGUUCCUACGAGUGGUAAUACCAAUAGAUUCAGCUAUGUCCAAGUCGUCCCCCUUUGCCCCACCAGGCAAUGACCACUCGAAAUUCUUCACCAAAUUCGCCAACGCAAGCUCCACAAGUGCCGUGGCAAAUGGCAUUCCUGGACAACCUCUCCUACCAGCUCCAAAUGGGAUGAACUCCAAGUGGUGGCCUUUGAAAUCUACAGGAUUAUUCAAGAACCUCUCAGGCCAGAACUCUUCAGGCUUGGUCCAAGUGUUGGGGUCUCUUGCCAGGCCCCAAGCAUUGAUUAGAACCAUAGUUCCAGCAGCAAUAUCAUAGCCCAUUAUUUUGGCAUCUUGGAUUGAUUCUCUUGGGGCUAGCAAUGGAAAAGGCGGAUGCAAGCGAAGAGCCUCUUUAAUCACCAAUUUGAGGUAAUGCAUUUCAUUCAAAUCAUCUUCUGUUACUUUGGAUUUUUCAUGAGUAAUUCUCCUGAUCUCAUUCUGUAGUUCCUUCAUGAUUCUAGGAUGUCUUAACAGCUCUGUCAUCGUCCAUUCUAGGACUGUAGAAGAGGUAUCAGACCCGCCAAGAAACAUAUCCAAAAUGAGAGCCUUGAUACGUUCUCUGUCAAGUGAAAACUCGGAUGCGUUUUCCUUUUGAAGCUCAAGCAGAAUAUGCACCAAGUCCUUGUUUGGAUCUUCUUUUCCAUUUCUAUGAGUUUUAUCCUCCUGAUUAUUCAUCAUAUGCUCUUCAAGGAUCCCAUCUAUAACUUCAUCAAAAUCUUUAGCCGUUCUAUCAAUUUUGGCAUUAAAACCAUUGACCCAAUUAACCCACCCAAGCCAAGGAAUGAAUUCCCCAAUAUUUAAUGAGCUUCCCAAUAACCUCAUCAAAUCAUCCAUUAGCUUGGUAAACUUUUUACCAUCUUCACCAUUAUUGUACUUCUUCCCAAAAGCUACCCUGCAUAUCACAUCGUUUGUCAGGGAAGAAAACAUUUCGCUCAUAUUCACAGGCAAAGACAACGAAGAAUUCUGCUGGAUCUUCUCCAUCAAGAAUUCUACCUCUUCUUCUCUCACAGCCCGAAAAGACUGAACUCUUCUGUUGCUCAGGAGUUGGAGUACACAAAUGCUUCUCAUCUUUCUCCAAUGCUCUCCAUAUGGAGCUACAGCCACAUCCUUGAGAUUGUAAAGAAGCUUCUCAGCGACACUUAGCUUGGGUCUGCUUGAGAAAACAAGAUCAUGGGUCUUCAUGAUCUCGCGGGCUGACUCCGUGGAUGAGACAAUAACCACAGGCUUGCUGCCAAAAUGAAGCAACAUAAGAGGGCCAUAACGCUGAGCCAGUGGCACGAGGGAGCGAUGAGGGUAAAGUCCAAUUUGGUGGAGGUUUCCAAGAACUGGGAGAUUCGGUGGGGUGGGCGGCGGCUUUUUGUGGGCUACUAGAGGAGAAGUGAGCCAUUUUAUGAGGAAAUACACGAAGACGAGGAAGGGAAGGAUUGACACAUACCGUUGAUCUAACAAGUGAAUGAUGUUUAGCAUAUCCACUCACCCAAGAAUUAAUCGUGAUAGCUUUUCUUCUUCUUCCUUCCCUUUAACUUUUUUUUAAAGAAAAAGAGAAGGCAGCUUUUGUGUGCUGAAG
rnacentral:misc_RNA from 1 species